CUCGAGCCCGGAAGGCGCGGGCAGAGACGCGAGUGCAGCCCGCUGGGCCAGGCCACCAUGGACAGAGACCAGCCCCUGCUCCUCCCUGGUGACUUGGCUAUGUUGCUGUGCCCUGAAGGGUGAGGGGAUGUUGUGAGUUGUUGACAGUCCUUUUGGUUCACCCAGAGUGGAAGAGGACGCAUUGGCUCGGAGACAGUUCCCAUCCAGAGUUUGCUCCGUCAGUGCCUGGCCUCAGCUGGGAAGGACAGGCGGGCCAGCUGUCACAGAUCCCCACGGAGUUCCUGAGGCUGUGGAAAGACCCUCCACUAACCCUGGAUUCCUCUUUUGCCCCCUGGGUCUGUGAGGACACAUGCUGGUGCUCCUGAACUUUCAGCGAUCCUCCUGCCUCAGUGCUAGGACUGCAGAGGUGUGCCACCAUGUUUUUCCAAUGUCAUGUUGCAGCUCCUCCUAACUCCCUGCUUUGAGUAACUGUCGAUAGAACAGAUGUAUAUAUGGAGGGAGAAUCGGCUACUACUCUGAUUUCAGAAACAUACACUUGAAAGAACUUGAACUCAGUCAAGUCCUGCUGCAUCUGCAUUCCCUUAAAUCGGCAACCUUCCUAAUGCUGCAACUCUUUCACACAGUUCCUCAUGUUGUGGUGACCCCCAACCAUACAAUUAAUUUUGUUGGUACUUCAUAACUGUAAUUUUUCUGGUUGUGAAUCGUAAUGUAAAUAUCUGCAU
rnacentral:lncRNA from 1 species